GACGAACGCUGGCGGCGUGCUUAACACAUGCAAGUCGAACGGAAAGGCCCUGCUUGCAGGGUACUCGAGAGGCGAACGGGUGAGUAACACGUGGGUGAUCCGCCCUGCACUUCGGGAUAAGCCUGGGAAACAGGGUCGAAUACAGGAGAGGAACCAUCUUGAGGGUGGGGGUGGGAAAGUUAUUUCGGUGUAGGAUGAGCUCGCGGCCUAUCAGCGUGUUGGUGGGGUAAUGGCCUACCAAGGCGGCGACGGGUAGCCGGCCUGUGAGGGUGUACGGCCACAUUGUGACUGAGAUACGGCCCAGACUCCUACGGGGGGCAGCGAUGGGGAAUAUUGCACAAUGUGCGCAGGCCUGAGGCAGCGACGCCGCGUGUGGGGUGUAGGCCUUCGGGUUUUAAACUCCUCUCGCGCGGGACGAGGCGUUGUUGUGACGGUACCUGGUAAAGAAGCACCGGCUAACUACGUG
rnacentral:rRNA from 1 species